GCAGCCUUGCUUCAUCUACAACCUAAACAUGGUGAUGGUGUUACAAUGCAAAAUUCACCAAUCCUUCUUCAAACUUUUUUGAGUUUUCCCUUGACAAUGCUGUGAUGAAAAGUCCAAGAAAGCCCAAUGAAAAGGAACAGAAAUGCUCACCCUUCUCUCAACUCUCAACUGCUGGUCCCCACCCAAAAUCUAUGCCCAUACUUUCCAAGCAAUAUCCUUAAUUAGUCUGGUAGGCGAAGAAGACUGGGCUCCAAAAGGAUGCUGUGAGAUAUCUGGAAGAUCACCCAUGACAUUUUCAACGUACUGUGCGGUUGAAGGCCGAAAGAUAAACACAAAGCAAGAAAGCAUGGACAUGAGAAACUUGGAAUAGGAGAAAUGGAAAGCAGCAUGUGCCUUAGCAGUGCAAUUUUGUCUCUGUGUUUGUCAUGUAUGUGGUUGGGAGUAGUGCCUUCCAUUUCUAGUGCACAGACAGACACCAUCAAACCUGGGGAAGAGCUUCAAUUCUCGGAAAAAUUACUGGUUUCUGCAAAAGGGACUUUUACUCUAGGCUUCUUCAGCCUGGAAUCUGGCAGUUAUUUAGGAAUAUGGUACACAACUGAUGAUUAUCACAAGAAAGUUUGGGUUGCUAACAGAGACAAGGCUAUAUCCGGCACCGAUGCAAAUCUCACGCUGGAUGCCGAUGGCAAAUUGAUGAUCACGCAUAGUGGGGGUGAUCCAAUUGUCCUGAAUUCCAAUCAAGCAGCCAGAAACUCAACAGCUACUCUGCUUGAUUCUGGAAAUUUUGUUUUGGAAGAGUUCAAUUCGGAUGGAUCUCUGAAGGAGAAACUAUGGGCGAGUUUCGAUAAUCCUACAGACACCCUCCUGCCUGGGAUGAAACUAGGCAUCAACUUGAAAACCGGGCGAAACUGGUCACUUGCUUCAUGGAUAAGCGAACAAGUGCCUGCUCCUGGGACUUUUACUCUGGAAUGGAAUGGCACACAAUUGGUGAUGAAACGCCGAGGGGGCACCUACUGGAGCAGUGGAACCUUGAAAGAUAGGAGCUUUGAGUUCAUUCCUUGGUUGAUGAGCUCUGACACUUUCAAUAACAUCUACAGUUUUAACAGUGUUUCGAAUGCAAACGAGAUUUACUUUAGCUAUUCAGUUCCAGAAGGAGUUGUUUCAGACUGGGUAUUGACCUCGGAAGGGGGACUUUUUGACACUAGUAGACCCGUAUUUGUGCUGGACGAUCAGUGCGCUAGGUAUGAAGAAUAUCCAGGGUGUGCAGUGCAAAACCCACCCACUUGCAGGUCUAGAAAAGACGGAUUCAUGAAGCAAUCGGUUCUCAUAUCAGGAUCACCAUCAUCAAUAAAAGAAAAAUCGAGCUUGGGCCUUAGGGAUUGUAAGGCUUUAUGCUGGAAUGAUUGUUCUUGUACUGCUUAUAAUAGUUUAUACACUAACGGAACUGGAUGUCGGUUUUGGAGUACAAAAUUUGCACAAGCCCUCAAGGAUGACGCAAAUCAGGAGGAGCUCUAUGUUUUAUCCUCAUCACGAGUUACGGGGAGCAGUUGGUGGAUAUGGGUCAUUAUUGCAGGAGUGGUACUUGUGGUCUUGUUGGUACUUGUGGUCUUGUUACUUACGGGCUCCUUAUACUAUUCAAGGAGAAAAUUCAGAGGGGAGAGAGAAAUGGAGGAAGCUGCGCUGCUUGAAUUGACAACUUCAAACAGCUUUAGUGAUUCAAAAGAUGUUGAACAUGAUGGAAAGAGGGGGGCUCAUGAUCUUAAACUGUUCAGUUUUGAUUCUAUUGUGGCUGCCACGAAUAACUUUUCAUCUGAAAAUAAACUUGGAGAGGGUGGUUUUGGCCAGGUUUAUAAAGGGAAAUUACCUGAGGGGCAAGAAAUAGCAGUGAAGAGACUUUCAAGGGGCUCCAGCCAAGGAUUGGUGGAGUUUAAAAAUGAGAUUAGACUGAUCGUCAAACUCCAACACAUGAAUCUUGUUAGACUUCUGGGUUGCUGCAUCAAGGGAGAAGAAAAGAUGUUAAUCUAUGAGUUCAUGCCCAACAAAAGCUUGGACUUCUUCCUCUUUGAUCCUGCUAGAAGAAAGAUAUUGGACUGGAAAAGACGUCACAAUAUCAUUGAGGGGAUUGCACAAGGACUUCUUUACUUGCAUAAAUAUUCAAGACUAAGAAUUAUUCAUAGAGAUCUAAAAGCAAGUAACAUCCUACUUGAUCAUGACUUGAACCCGAAAAUUUCUGAUUUUGGCAUGGCCAGAACUUUUGGGCGAAAUGCAUCGGAAGCAAAUACAAAUAGGAUAGUUGGAACAUAUGGUUACAUGCCACCCGAGUAUGCCAUGGAAGGAAUUUUCUCGGUGAAAUCAGAUGUUUAUAGCUUUGGGGUCCUACUGUUGGAGAUUGUGAGCGGCCGAAAGAACAAAAGCUUUCAUCAUAACCACGGUGCCUUUGCCAUAAACCUGGCAGUAUACGGGCUACACAUGAUCGAGUAUCAUUUAAAUGGAUCCAAGUAAUACAAUUUACUAUUAUCUGUAGAUUGGAAGAGAGCUAGUAAGGGGUGAACAUGGCAGUGUGGAAUAUAUGGGUGGGAGACGAGAGAGUAUAAUGUUAGAACGAUCAAUGACAUAUAAUGAUUCAAGGAUUUGUGGGAAAAUGAGCAUCGAUAUAGUGGGACCAACAUUUUCGUACACUCUCCCAUUUGAUCUAUAUGCACUUCAACCAUUGAAAAAUGAUGAAGACUUGACAAACAUGUUUCAGUUUAGUGACCAAUCCACACGUGUAUAUAUGUUUAGCAUCAACAGUUGAAGGUGAUGAAACAGUUGAGAAUGGAGGACAAAGAUUGAACGAAACAAUGGUAGGGUCAAACUCACUGGUCCCAUAUUCAAUAAGGGAUGUUGAUAUUAAUUAGAAUGCAAUCACGAGGGUUUCAUCAAAGAUGUGUUGAAUCACAUGUGGGUACACUAGAGUCGAGUCAUUUUGAGAGUGCAAUAUUGGGUAGUGGGCAUACCUUCUCAAUUGCAAAUGACUUUUGAGAUGCAAUAUAUCUCAUGUCAAUAGGAAACCAUUUUAGAUAUAAGUUUAGGAGGAAUUGUCUUAAGCAUAUGACUGUAAUAUGUGUUGUUGAAGGAUGCCCUUGGAAAGUAACUACUCGUGUUGUUGGGAGAACAAAAAUAGUUCAGGUGCAUACAUUUAUAAGUGAACAUAACCACUCUUUAGAAGAUGUGUCAGUUUUUGAACCAAUAGUUCGUUGUAAUCGAGACACAACUAUGAUUGAUGAUGUUAUUCAUUCAAAUCCAAAUUACUUGUCUCAUCAAAUAUGUAAAGACUUUCAUCGACAAUACAGAAUGCAAUUGAAUUAUUGUCAA